rnacentral:tRNA from 1 species
GGGGAUUUAGCUCAGUGGUAGAGCGCUUGCCUAACAAGUGCAAGGCCCUGGGUUCGGUCCCCAGCUCCA